rnacentral:rRNA from 1 species
AGGACAAACGCUGGCGGCGUACCUAAGACAUGCAAGUCGAACGAGGACUGAUCCUUCGGGGUCAGUGCGAGUGGCGGACGGGUGAGUAACGCGUAGGAACCUGACGCACAGUGGGGGAUAACGCUGGGAAACCGGCGCUAAGACCGCAUGUGGUCCGGCAACGGAAGAAAGCCAUUCAUGAAAGUGGAUGGUGCUGUGUGAGGGGCCUGCGUCCGAUUAGCUGGUUGGUGGGGUAAAGGCCUACCAAGGCGACGAUCGGUAGCUGGUCUGAGAGGAUGAUCAGCCACACUGGGACUGAGACACGGCCCAGACUCCUACGGGAGGCAGCAGUUAGGAAAUUUUCUCAAUGGGGAAACCCUGAAGGAGUAACGCCGCGUGCAGGAUGACGGCUUUCGGGUUGUAAACUGCUUUUCUGUGGGAAGAGGAAAGACGGUACCACAGGAAGAAGCCUCGGCUAACUACGUGCCAGCAGCCGC